rnacentral:rRNA from 4 species
UGCCUUAGUAACGGCGAGUGAAGCGGCAAUAGCUCAAAUUUGAAAGCUGGCCCCUUUCGGGGUCCGCGUUGUAAUUUGUAGAGGAUGAUUCGGCGAGGGCUCCCGUCUAAGUCCCUUGGAACAGGGCGUCAUAGAGGGUGAGAAUCCCGUAUGUGAUGGGCUGCCUUAGCCAUGUGAAUCUCCUUCGACGAGUCGAGUUGUUUGGGAAUGCAGCUCUAAAUGGGAGGUAAAUUUCUUCUAAAGCUAAAUACCGGCCAGAGACCGAUAGCGCACAAGUAGAGUGAUCGAAAGAUGAAAAGCACUUUGGAAAGAGAGUUAAAAAGUACGUGAAAUUGUUGAAAGGGAAGCGCUUGCAGCCAGACUUGUCCGCAGUUGCUCAGCCUGUCUCCUGACAGGCGUACUCUUCUGCGGCCAGGCCAGCAUCAGUUCGGGCGGUCGGAUAAAGACCCGGGGAAUGUAGCUCCUCUCGGGGAGUGUUAUAGCCCUGGGUGCAAUGCGGCCAGCCUGGACUGAGGAUCUCGCUUCGGCUAGGAUGCUGGCGUAAUGGCUGUAAGCGGCCCGUCUUGAAACACGGACCAAGGAGUCUAACAUCUAUGCGAGUGUUUGGGUGUCAAACCCAUGCGCGUAAUGAAAGUGAACGGAGGUGGGAACCCUCACGGGUGCACCAUCGACCGAUCCUGAUGUCUUCGGAUGGAUUUGAGUAAGAGCAUAGCUGUUGGGACCCGAAAGAUGGUGAACUAUGCCUGAAUAGGGUGAAGCCAGAGGAAACUCUGGUGGAGGCUCGCAGCGGUUCUGACGUGCAAAUCGAUCGUCAAAUUUGGGUAUAGGGGCGAAAGACUAAUCGAACCAUCUAG